AACGUAGGACACAAGCGUUAUCCGGAGUUACUGGGCGUAAAGGGCGCGUAGGCGGAUACUUAAGUUAGAGGUGAAAGCCCAGGGCUCAACCCUGGAAUAGCCUUUAAUACUGGGUAUCUUGAGUUCGGGAGAGGUGAGUGGAACUCCGAGUGUAGAGGUGAAAUUCGUAGAUAUUCGGAAGAACACCAGUGGCGAAGGCGACUCACUGGCCCGAUACUGACGCUGAGGCGCGAAAAGCGUGGGGAGCAAACAGG
rnacentral:rRNA from 1 species